UACAUGGGGUGCAAACGUUGCUCGGAAUUAUUGGGCGUAAGCGCACGUAGGCGGUUCGUUAAGUCGGAUGUGAAAGCCCUCGGCUCAACUGAGGAAGUGCACCCGAAACUGGCGAGCUUGAGUACGAAAGAGGAUCGCGGAAUUCCCGGUGUAGAGGUGAAAUUCGUAGAUAUCAGGAGGAACACCAAUGGCGAAGGCAGCUCGCUGGGACGGUACUGACACUGAGACGCGAAAGCGUGGGGAGCAA
rnacentral:rRNA from 1 species